ensembl:lncRNA
AAAAAACGUGAGCUGUACAUUGGGAGAGCAGAGCAGAAGGCGGGAUGGAGAGGAGCUCUGGAAGCUGAACGAGGCUUUAAGAAUCCACGUUUCUGUUGACUGGAUUUACUCACUACAUCUUAUGUUUUGCCUUGUUAGCUGUGUGUAGUUGAGGACUGCAGAGGCACAGAUGUUGUUUUGUUGUCUGGGUGAGAAAAAACGGAGAUUCUGUGUGAGCGGGUUCAAGCUAACCGCUAAAGCUAACGGCUAAGCUAACGGCUAGGCUACGGCCGGCGAGCCUCGUCACGGGCUGAGUGGACUUUGAACUGGACAGACUGAGGUGCUUCUGGAUGAAGAGCUACCUGGAUGAGGAGUUACCUGGACGAGGAGUUACCUGCCGCUCCUCUGACCAUUUGUUUUCCUGAGACAUUGGAUUAUUCGUCGGCUGGCUGCUGACUUUUCAGACACUGAGCUGUGGACGUGGAUUCUGCUAACGGCUAACUGUGAGUUUGCUGACCGGAGAUCAACGCCGCUGCGGGGAUUUCGUGGGCUGCUUCCUGUGAUCAUCGUGGGUUUUCUUCUCUGCACCUGGACGACGGCGAACAACUGGAGAUCGACACACAGGACUGCAACGUCUUGGGCUGAGAAAUGCCAGAAAUCCCACCCAGGAAUCCGUGAGCCGCCCUCUGGAAGAAGUUUGACGUCUUGAUGCAGAGACAGAUGCUGGGAGCGCCUUUACAGCGGUUAUGUGGACAGCAGAAGAUCACAGUGAUGGAUGGCGGUUGCAGGACAUCUCUGUCUCGCUCGGUGGGAGACAGUAGCCUCCUCUAGAGCUGUCUGCUCUGCUGGUGGCCUGAGCUGCCUUAUCUACUGGCAGGUAACUGUCAGAGGCCUGCAGGCUGGAGACAGACUGCUGAGAAACACCACAAGAGGAAGAAUCAGGAGAGUUUUGGCCCGCUUGAAUAGACCUCUAAAGACAGAGCUGUUCUGUAGCUCUGAAUUAGGCCCAGUAGUGCUCUGAGCACUGUGUUCAGAAUCUCAAUGGGCUCUUUAAAAAACCCCUUUUUUGCAAUUAUCAACCUGACUGAGAAAAGCAGAUUUAAUAUGUAGGAGAGAAAUAAACCAUCUGCCUUCUCUUGAUUGAAGUCAAACUUUUCUUAUGAGGUUUUUGUUACAGACAAGAUGGUGAAGCUGUUGCCCUUGUUUAACCUCACUAUCAGCCACAGCCAGAAGUCACUGACUGAUGAGUUAAACAUGAAUAAAUCUGAAUAAGU